CCUACGGGAGGCAGCAGUGGGGAAUUUUGGACAAUGGGCGCAAGCCUGAUCCAGCAAUGCCGCGUGAGUGAAGAAGGCCUUCGGGUUGUAAAGCUCUUUUGUCAGGGAAGAAACGGUGGUUCCUAAUACGGACUACUAAUGACGGUACCUGAAGAAUAAGCACCGGCUAACUACGUGCCAGCAGCCGCGGUAAUACGUAGGGUGCAAGCGUUAAUCGGAAUUACUGGGCGUAAAGCGUGCGCAGGCGGUUAUAUAAGUCAGAUGUGAAAUCCCCGGGCUCAACCUGGGAACUGCAUUUGAGACUGUAUGGCUAGAGUGUGUCAGAGGGGGGUAGAAUUCCACGUGUAGCAGUGAAAUGCGUAGAUAUGUGGAGGAAUACCGAUGGCGAAGGCAGCCCCCUGGGAUAACACUGACGCUCAUGCACGAAAGCGUGGGGAGCAAACAGGAUUAGAUACCCUGGUAGUCCACGCCCUAAACGAUGUCUACUAGUUGUCGGGACUUAAUUGUCUUGGUAACGCAGCUAACGCGUGAAGUAGACCGCCUGGGGAGUACGGUCGCAAGAUUAAAACGUCAAAGGAAUUGACGG
rnacentral:rRNA from 1 species